rnacentral:tRNA from 1 species
ACCUGGCUGGCUCAGUCAGUAGAGCAUGCAACUCUUGAUCUCAGGGUCAUGAGUUCAAGCCCCAUGUUGGGUG